rnacentral:lncRNA from 1 species
UUUACGAGCAUCUUACAUAGUAGAACAAUGAAAAACGAGGUGUGGCAGGUGGUCUGUUCAUCUACGCGUGAGUCGAGCCACCUAGGCAUUUUACUUGAUAUUAGAAUUAGAAGCAGAGGUGCGGGGUGCGCGUAUAACGAAAAAAAUGACUGGAGGGGGGAGGGAAGGAGAAGGGGUAGAUCUACUUGCAACGCGAAAUGA